GGAAGGUGGGGAUGACGUCAAAUCAUCAUGCCCCUUAUGACCUGGGCUACACACGUGCUACAAUGGACAGAACAAAGGGCUGCAAGACCGCAAGGUUUAGCCAAUCCCAUAAAUCUGUUCUCAGUUCGGAUCGCAGUCUGCAACUCGACUGCGUGAAGCUGGAAUCGCUAGUAAUCGCGGAUCAGCAUGCCGCGGUGAAUACGUUCCCGGGCCUUGUACACACCGCCCGUCACACCACGAGAGUUUGCAACACCCGAAGUCGGUGAGGUAACCUUUAUGGAGCCAGCCGC
rnacentral:rRNA from 1 species